UCCAACACGAAUAUGUCCCCCACGGAGGCCGUUCCUUUCCGGCGGAAGGCGGCCUACACCGCCGGCUCGCUCCUCGUCUUCCUGGCGGGCAGCCAGCUCCCGCUCUAUGGGAUCGACGACAGCCGGGCCGGGGCUGCCGACGACCCGCUCUACUGGGUCCACACGGCCUACGCGGCCAACCGCGGAACCGCCAUGUCCCUCGGCGUUUACCCCCUCCUCAUGUCCGAGUUCAGCACCCACCUCCUCCUGGGGUUAGGGGCCAUUAAUCCCCUCCCGGAAAACCGCCUUCUCAUGACCGGAGGGCUGAAGAAGGUGCUUGGGGUGUUGUUCUCCGUCGCGAUCUCGGUCCGCGACGUGCUAUCCGCGACCUACUUGGGCGCCGGGAGCGCGAUCCUUGUCUGGCUGCAGAUAUCCAUUGGAAGCGUGAUUCUCAUUUAUCUCAAUGACGCUCUUAGAAAGGGCUAUGGCCUCCUUUCUGGCAUCCCGUUAUUCACCGCCGCCAAUGUUUGGUUUCAGUCCAACUACAGCAUCAGCAUAUCCUACCUCGCCUAUGCCCCCAUCAUCUUCCAAGCCACGCUU
rnacentral:rRNA from 1 species